GCCGGCCUGAGAGAGGGGUAGACCGGCCCAUCUUGGGAUUGAGACACGCCCCAGAUCUCUUACCGGAGGCAGCAUUGGGAUAUGCACAAUGGCGCAAGCUGAUGCAGCACGCGCGUGAGGGACGAGACUCGGUGUAACCUCUUUAGCAGGAGAGCGAGAGUGACGUACUGCAGAAAAGCACCGGCUACUACGUGCCAGCAGCCGCGGUAAUACGUAGGGUGCGAGCGUUAUCCUGGAAGUUAUCGGCGUAAAGAGCUCGUAGGCGGUCUGUCGCGUCUGCUGUGAAAUCCCGAGGCUCAACCUCGGGCUUGCAGUGGGUAUGGGCAGACUAGAGUGCGGUAGGGGAGAUUGGAAUUCUGGUGUAGCGGUGGAAUGCGCAGAUAUCAGGAGGAACACCGAUGGCGAAGGCAGAUCUCUGGGCCGUUACUGACGCUGAGGAGCGAAAGCGUGGGGAGCAAACAGGCUUAGAUAUCGUGGUAGUGCACGCCGUAAACGUUGGGAACUAGAUGUGGGGACCAUUCCACGGUCUCCGUGUCGUAGCUAACGCAUUAAGUUCCCCGCCUGGGGAGUACGGCCGCAAGGCUAAAACUCAAAGGAAUUGACGGGGGCCCGCACAAGCGGCGGAGCAUGCGGAUUAAUUCGAUGCAACGCGAAGAACCUUACCAAGGCUUGACAUAUACGAGAACGCACUGGAGACAGUGAACUCUUUGGACACUCGUAAACAGGUGGUGCAUGGUUGUCGUCAGCUCGUGUCGUGAGAUGUUGGGUUAAGUCCCGCAACGAGCGCAACCCUCGUCCUAUGUUGCCAGCACGUCAUGGUGGGAACUCAUGGGAUACUGCCGGGGUCAACUCGGAGGAAGGUGGGGAUGAGGUCAAAUCAUCAUGCCCCUUAUGUCUUGGGCUUCACGCAUGCUACAAUGGCCGGUACAAUGGGCUGCGAUACCGUAAGGUGGAGCGAAUCCCAAAAAGCCGGUCUCAGUUCGGAUUGAGGUCUGCAACUCGACCUCAUGAAGUCGGAGUCGCUAGUAAUCGCAGAUCAGCAACGCUGCGGUGAAUACGUUCCCGGGCCUUGUACACACCGCCCGUCAAGUCAUGAAAGUCGGUAACACCCGAAGCCGGUGGCCUAACCCUUGUGGAGGGAGCCGUCGAAGGUGGAUCGUUUGGCG
rnacentral:rRNA from 1 species